GUUAAUCAGAUUUGUAGCACCCGAUAUGUUUAGGCAGUAGACUUAUUGGUCCAGAGAAGGAUUCCCAUGAUUCACCAAAAAAUUGUUGUACUAGGGAGUUUGCUUGUUUUGAUAGAAAUAGUAGUAAGGUGUGUAUUUGUACGUAUAACAUGUUUGGUGAGAGAGAGACUUGGAUAUUUCUCCAUCCAUAUUUUACUUGUUCUGAUGUAGACAUGCAAACAAGCCAAAAAUGAUCUCUAUGGAAUAAUGUUCCUGACAAGAGAUAGGGCUUUGUUCCUAUAUUACUAUUUUUGGGACCCUACAUUCUUUUAUCUAUAGCAUUUAUGCUUUAUGAGCUGCAUUUAUAAAUGGAUUAUAUCAGUGAUAUUAGCUAUGUGUGUGGACGGAUAUACAUAUGUGUGAGAUAAUUUGGGGUUGAUAGGAAAUCAUUAUUUUGAUGUUUUGUUAAUUGAAGUUUGAUCUUAUGUUCUAACUGCAAACAUGUGUGCCACGUUUCCUCAAUGUGAAGCGAAAGAAGGUCGUCGCGGUGGUCGGCUACCAGGAGUAUCUUGUUUGGCCUUGUACCAUGUCGGAUUGUCACUAUUUUUAAAAUCUACUUAUGACUAUUUUGUAAAGGACAAAUUGACAGAUUUGGCGAAAAAUGGGCGUAUUUGGAGCCGGAUGGAAAGAUUGGCAGAUUUGGAGCAGGGUGAUGAUGGAGCAGACUGUUGUCACAAUAACAAAAGAGCUGAAGUGGAAGGGCUCAUGGAAGAAGAGCUGGAAUGACAAUGAUGCAACCUUGACGUGUGGCUGUUGUAUGUAUUUGAGGUACAUAGGAAAAGAACUCUUAAUGAGGUAAAGUGAUGGGGACUCAUCUAAGGCAGAGAUGGCAACUGAGCCCAGAGGCAAACAUGGCAUUGUUCAUAGUCAGUUUGUGAAUGAACAUGUGGUGGAAAGAAUGUUUCCAUGUCCAUAUGCCUCCUUUUCUUAUUAUUCGUACUAAGGUGAGGUGCCUUAUAUCUCA